CAAUUAUCACUUUUCGUAGUGCUUCAAAACGCUCCGCAUCAUAGCCACGAGAUCUGCUGUCCAACACUCAGCGUAAAUCAGCGUGGUUGGAAAAAAUUUAAUCGAAGUCAAGAGAUCGCGCACAAGCACGCGAAGGAACCAAAAGCCGCUACAAAAACGCCAGCACAAGCGUCGGUUGAGCCACCAUUUUGCUACCACGAGACGCUCAAACAGAGUAACCACGACGCACGGUUCCCGAACAAGGCUCUCCACCAGAGAGCCUUUUAUGACGUGCUUCUGAAAAGCGUACGCCUCCAUAUUGCACGAUCUCAUCGGCGCUCCCCGGCAUUACCUUGCCGGUCAUCAUCAAUGUGCAGAGAGCCGAGCGAUCCAGGCAUUUAACCUCACUAGGUGCUGCAGUGCAAAAGAAGACGCAACAGUGUCGGUGAGAGAGCUUUGAACGGCAAGGCAAAGUCACUGCGGAGAAGAAGUACGUCUGCCCACGCUCACGAACUGAUUGUCUGAAGAUACGAGUGACGAGUUUGCUGGCAUUGGGUAUCAGCCGUCAGCCGAUGGCGUGCUUGUGUAGAAAAACAGUGACCCGAAAAGACAGUACGUAGCAAGUGUUAUCAUCGUAUUAAGACCGCACCACGCGGGAGUGUGAGCAGAGGGGGUGAGACAGAGGGACUCUAUCGUCGACGGCGGGUCUCCGAAUUGUGUGUGUGAGUUGUGGCACGGUGCACUUGCGGCAGAAGAAACGAGCGACCCGAAUUAGUGUUCCAUCAGCACGUUCGAAACACCGAGCGCUCAGAAGCGAGCGAUCGAGUACCAUCGCAUCGACGAUGGUGGUGAAUCAUCAGAGGGGCCCCUCUGCGUCACGUCGAAGUUCGUCCGCUUAUAACAUUAGUCACCGGAGACAGCAAGUGUGAAGCAGGAAAGUUAGAUAGGGCAAGAUAGAAACAUGUAUUUAGGACAACGGGCACAAUAUACAAGAUGUUAACAUGAUUUAUUUUUUUGAAUGCUUAUUGGCUGCCCGAGUCUCUCACUGACACUAAUUGCGCUUUAGCCGGGCGAGAAGACAAAGGGAAACAGAUCUCGU